rnacentral:rRNA from 1 species
UACGGAGGGUGCAAGCGUUAAUCGGAAUUAUUGGGCGUAAAGCGCGUGUAGGCGGUUUGUUAAGUCUGAUGUGAAAGCCCCGGGCUCAACCUGGGAAGUGCAUUGGAUACUGGCAGACUUGAAUACGGGAGAGGGUAGUGGAAUUCCUGGUGUAGGAGUGAAAUCCGUAGAUAUCAGGAGGAACACCGGUGGCGAAGGCGGCUGCCUGGACCGAUGUUGACGCUGAGACGCGAAAGCGUGGGGAGCAAACAGG